rnacentral:rRNA from 1 species
CGUGUCUCUAGUGUCAGCCGCCGCGGUAAUACGGAGGGUGCAAGCGUUAAUCGGAAUUACUGGGCGUAAAGCGCGCGUAGGCGGCUGAGUAAGUCGAUUGUGAAAUCCCCGGGCUCAACCUGGGAAUUGCAGUCGAGACUGCUCGGCUAGAGUGUGGGAGAGGGUGGUGGAAUUCCCGGUGUAGCGGUGAAAUGCGUAGAUAUCGGGAGGAACAUCAGUGGCGAAGGCGACCACCUGGCCCAACACUGACGCUGAGGUGCGAAAGCGUGGGUAGCAAACAGGAUUAGAUACCCUGGUAGUCCACGCCGUAAACGAUGUCGACUAGCCGUUGGAGACCUUAGAGUCUUUAGUGGCGCAGCUAACGCACUAAGUCGACCGCCUGGGGAGUACGGCCGCAAGGUUAAAAACUCAAAGGAAUUGACGGG